CGGGAUGUAGCGCAGUUGGUAGCGCGCUGCGUUCGGGACGCAGAAGUCGCAGGUUCGAACCCUGUCAUUCCGACCA
rnacentral:tRNA from 1 species